rnacentral:rRNA from 1 species
GAUGAACGCUGGCGGCGUGCCUAAUACAUGCAAGUCGAGCGAACAGACGAGGAGCUUGCUCCUCUGACGUUAGCGGCGGACGGGUGAGUAACACGUGGAUAACCUACCUAUAAGACUGGGAUAACUUCGGGAAACCGGAGCUAAUACCGGAUAACAUGUUGAACCGCAUGGUUCAACAGUGAAAGACGGUCUUGCUGUCACUUAUAGAUGGAUCCGCGCCGCAUUAGCUAGUUGGUAAGGUAACGGCUUACCAAGGCAACGAUGCGUAGCCGACCUGAGAGGGUGAUCGGCCACACUGGAACUGAGACACGGUCCAGACUCCUACGGGAGGCAGCAGUAGGGAAUCUUCCGCAAUGGGAGAAAGCCUGACGGAGCAACGCCGCGUGAGUGAAGAAGGUCUUCGGAUCGUAAAACUCUGUUAUUAGGGAAGAACAAAUGUGUAAGUAACUAUGCACGUCUUGACGGUACCUAAUCAGAAAGCCACGGCUAACUACGUG